ACUUAAUGGUAUUAUGAAUUAAUUGCAGAAAGGAACGGUGUGAAAGAAUUGAUGACACUAUCCUCUGGAGUGUAUUAGCUUGACUACACAACACAAGAUCUGCAUCUGAUAAGCUUUGCAGACCUUUCCAACAGCUAACUUCUUUCCCUCGCUUGUGGUUGCAAAAUUAUGUGGUGCGCUUAUGCAAUCAUACUAUACUUCAAAGCUGUUGCUGGGAUCAAUUCAACUUCUCACUUUAUGCUCAAAGCAAUCAGAGGCAGAGCAUAAGUAAAAAUGAUUUUUACAUGGUUUGAUGUCACUUGUGGAGGAUUGUGAAAUUUGAUUGAAGAAUGGUUGUUUUCUUCACAAUAACAGAGUAGCUAUUUUGCCUAUUGCAUGGUUAGCUUUCUUGUUAUAUUAAUUAGAGUUUGUUUUGACAGCAUGUUACAAUAGGCAUGCUAUUAUAUUCUUCGCCUAAGUAGCAUUAAAUUUAAUGCUACUUUUUCUUUUGGAAUAUAGUACAUGUUGCAAUGCGCAUCAGAUUGUCAUAUUCUUAUUUAUUCUCAUUUUAUGUAGACAAUGCUCCAAAUAUUUAGUUGUGGCACCACCUUUCUAAACAAUGUUCCCAUCCAUUUUUGUUCUUUAUCCUUCGCUAUUUUAUAUUUUUUUGCUGUUAUUAACUGUGUGCUUUUCUUCUCCAUCCGUACCUCCGCCUGGCCUUCUUGAAUUAAUCUGUGUGCCAUAUUUUAAUCAGUGCAAUGUAUGGCUAUAAUUUUAUGGGAUGAGAUUAUUGAAUGAAAAAUGUUUUGUAGCUCGAAAGUUCCUCCCCCGAAUCCCCCAACAUUGUUUUGGGCAGUUUAUUUUUUUUUAAUUUUUUUUUUCUGAAACAGAGGGAGAGAGACGGAGAAACAGAGGAGAGGAGAGAGGGAGAAAGAGAGAGGAGGAGAGGAGAGAAGGGAAACAGAGAGAGAGAGACGGCGGGUGCGACGGUAGGUGUGGCGAUGGCGGUGCGAGCAACGGUGGAUGUCGAUCGCAGAUCGCAGCUCGUUGCUCGUGGCAGCUCGUCGGCCGAUCGCAGCUCGUCGGCUGAUCGUCUCCGCCCUGCCUCUGCCACUGCCUCUGCCUCCGCCUCCGCCUCCGCCCGGUUGAUAUUGCCCCCUCCAGUCCUUUUUCUUCUUCUUCUUCCUUCUCUUCUUCCUUCUUCCUUCAUCUUCUUCAUCUCUUGAUUUUUGGUUGAUUCGGGGGAUUCGAGGGCUCCAAAUUCAAGCUCCCUAGCACGGCUCUUAUUGAAUUUACCUAUAAAAAAUAGCUGAGAUGACAUUAUGAUGACAUCAUAACUUUUUGCCUUGAUAGUUGAUAGGGAGUGCUGACAGCAUUAUUUGAGGAAUUGUUAGCAUUGUUUAGGUGGUGUUUGGGUUGCCUGGACUGAGAAGGAAGUUUCGUGUUUGACCAUGUAAAAUAUAGUUUUAAGUUUUUUUUUGUGUGUGUGUGUGUGUGUGUUAAAUUUGAAAGCAGAUUCAGCCACAGGUAUUUGUUUGAGAACAAAUGAAACUGCUGCCUAUGAGUUAAAUGUUACAGUUACAGUUCUUUGUAGACUAAGUAAAAUUGAAGAGAACCUAUUGAAGAAAGUUCAAAAGAAAUUUCAAGAGAAUUUUUUAGGUUGUGUUUGGAUCUUGGAUUUAGUGAGAGAUUUGUGAAGGGAAUAGAAAAAAGGGAGGGAAAAAUGAAUGAAAUAGGUACUAAUUUUUUUAAAUAUAAAUCUCUUCCCCGUUUAUUUGACCUCCACAAAUCCAAGAUCCUAACAUACCCAUUGUCAAUUGACAAUCCUUACAAAGGGUGAACUGAUGCUCUACAGGAAGUGACCUUUUGGGAUAUAAAAAUGAAAAAUGAAGCUUAUAGGCUUACAAGGUCAGAUUCAAGUUUCUCCAGAAAUUCACCUAUAUGCAGCUUGGAAAGAUUGUCUUCUCAUAGUAAUGUCAAUCUUCAGUGUUAUUGGGUGACCUCUAGACAAGCUUAGCAAACAGAGGACAGUGAAGUUGAAAUGUUUGGGGAAAUCAGAUUGCUUUGGCUAGUAUUUAUGAUUUGUUUGUGCACUUGUUUUUUUUGGAAAAUUAAUCGUGAGCGAAUGAAUUACUAGAAAACAAAUCGUAAAACUUGUCUGACCUGGUGGAUUUUGGUAAGAUGAAUCACUUAGGAUAACUAACAGGACACUGAAUUUUUAAUCAAAUUAUAUGAUGCUUAUCAUUGUCAAUGUUUUACUUUGCAGGUCAUUUGAUGCGAGAGAGACUAGAUAUAAGACGAGCAAAACAUAGGAGAGAAAUGGUUGAGCUGCCUAUAGGUAGCCAGAAUGUAUGAAGUCUACAUCACUAAGGAGAGGAUCUAAAUUCCAAGCAGACCCAAAUCCUCAUGCCUCAUAUGAAGUCAGCUUGGACGUACAAUUAUCCCUCCUCUGUCCAGAUUAGAGGCGACAUCUGGACCCACAUGUCUUCGUGAAGUUGUUUUGACAUGGUUUAGUUGAUUUUCGAGAGGUAUUAACAUGGGAUUGUUUAUCCAACCACUUAAAUUAUACCACCAAAUUGAAGGCCUAUUCCUAUUUACAAGUAAA